UAUAAAGUGAUGUAUGAAGCAUAAAGAAUUUUGAUUUCUUAAGACUUAGUUUAAUUCUAAGCUUUAUAA
rnacentral:tRNA from 1 species